UACGGGGGGAGCAAGCGUUGUUCGGAUUUACUGGGCGUAAAGGGCGCGUAGGCGGUCAGCACAAGUCAGUUGUGAAAUCUCCGGGCUUAACUCGGAAAGGUCAACUGAUACUGUGCGACUAGAGUGCGGAAGGGGCAACUGGAAUUCUCGGUGUAGCGGUGAAAUGUGUAGAGAUCGGGAGGAACACCGGUGGCGAAGGCGGUCUUCUGGACGGUGACUGACGCUGAGGCGCGAAAGCGUGGGGAGCAAACGGG
rnacentral:rRNA from 1 species